GACAAAUAGCUCACUUGGUAGAGCACGAGACUCUUAAUUUCAGGGUCGUGGGUUCAAGCCCCACGUUGGGCA